rnacentral:rRNA from 1 species
UGAGGAAUAUUGGUCAAUGGGCGAGAGCCUGAACCAGCCAAGUAGCGUGCAGGAUGAUGGCCCUAUGGGUUGUAAACUGCUUUUAUAUGGGAAUAAAGUGAGGGACGUGUCCCUUAUUGCAUGUACCAUACGAAUAAGGACCGGCUAAUUCCGUGCCAGCAGCCGCGGUAAUACGGAAGGUCCAGGCGUUAUCCGGAUUUAUUGGGUUUAAAGGGAGCGUAGGCUGUUUGUUAAGCGUGUUGUGAAAUGUAAGAGCUCAACUUUUAGAUUGCAGCGCGAACUGGCAGACUUGAGUGCGCACAACGUAGGCGGAAUUCAUGGUGUAGCGGUGAAAUGCUUAGAUAUCAUGACGAACUCCGAUUGCGAAGGCAGCUUACGGGAGCGCAACUGACGCUAAAGCUCGAAGGUGCGGGUAUCGAACAGG